CAAAAAAUAACAUAAUAUUUCGCUUACUUAAUUUUUUUCAUUAAGAUACAGUUCCGUUUAUUAGUACCUAAAUAAUUAAGUUAUUAAAAAUGGCUAUUCAUCUAUUUGGAAUAUAAUUGGAACCGAUUUUUCACCGCAGCACAUACACUAAUAAUAAAAAUAUAAAUAAAAUAUACAAUUAAAAACCGCGCAAUCUGAAAUAUCUUGACUGAACUGGAUUGAAUAAAAUAACCCGUCUUUGAUAUUCAUAACCGGCCCUUCGUAAAAUCGGUUGCUCAUAAAUAAGCUAUGCAAUCGAGCUAUAAGUAAAAUCAUGGUAAAAUCGGUCAUUCGUAAAAUCGAAUCACAAAGGGUGCUAGGACUUCGUCUGUGGUGGCGUUUGCUGGCGCG